rnacentral:rRNA from 1 species
CCUACGGGUGGCAGCAGUGGGGAAUAUUGGACAAUGGGCGAAAGCCUGAUCCAGCCAUGUCGCGUGUGUGAAGAAGGCCUUCGGGUUGUAAAGCACUUUCAGUGGGGAAGAAAGCCUUGGGGCUAAUACCCUCGAGGAAGGACAUCACCCACAGAAGAAGCACCGGCUAACUCCGUGCCAGCAGCCGCGGUAAUACGGAGGGUGCGAGCGUUAAUCGGAAUUACUGGGCGUAAAGCGCGCGUAGGCGGUCUGAUAAGCCGGUUGUGAAAGCCCCGGGCUCAACCUGGGAACGGCAUCCGGAACUGUCAGGCUAGAGUGCAGGAGAGGAAGGUAGAAUUCCCGGUGUAGCGGUGAAAUGCGUAGAGAUCGGGAGGAAUACCAGUGGCGAAGGCGGUCUUCUGGACUGACACUGACGCUGAGGUGCGAAAGCGUGGGUAGCAAACAGGAUUAGAUACCCCAGUAGUC